rnacentral:rRNA from 1 species
ACGGGUGAGUAACGCGUGGGAACGUACCCUUUACUACGGAAUAACGCAGGGAAACUUGUGCUAAUACCGUAUGUGCCCUUCGGGGGAAAGAUUUAUCGGUAAAGGAUCCGCCCGCGUUGGAUUAUCUAGUUGGUGGGGUAAAGGCCUACCAAGGCGACUAUCCAUAGCUGGUCUGAGAGGAUGAUCAGCCACAUUGGGACUGAGACACGGCCCAAACUCCUACGGGAGGCAGCAGUGGGGAAUAUUGGACAAUGGGCGCAAGCCUGAUCCAGCCAUGCCGCGUGAGUGAUGAAGGCCCUAGGGUUGUAAAGCUCUUUCACCGGAGAAGAUAAUGACAGUAUCCGGAGAAGAAGCCCCGGCUAACUUCGUGCCAGCAGCCGCGGUAAUACCAAGGGGGCUAGCGUUGUUCGGAAUUACUGGGCGUAAAGCGCACGUAGGCGGACCUUUAAGUCAGGGGUGAAAUCCCAGAGCUCAACUCUGGAACUGCCUUUGAUACUGGGUGUCUUGAGUAUGGAAGAGGUGAGUGGAAUUCCGAGUGUAGAGGUGAAAUUCGUAGA